GCUUACGGCCACACCGCCUGGUAUACGCUUGAUCUCGGAAGGUAAGGUAGGUUGGGCCUGGUUAGUACUUGGAUGGGAGACCGCCUGAGAAUACCAGGUGCUGUAAGCU
rnacentral:rRNA from 1 species